UUUUUAAUUUUCACGCCGACCU
rnacentral:rRNA from 1 species